rnacentral:rRNA from 1 species
GACGAACGCUGGCGGCGUGCUUAACACAUGCAAGUCGAACGAUGAUGGGGAGCUUGCUCCUUAGAUUAGUGGCGAACGGGUGAGUAACACGUGAGUAACCUGCCCUGGACUCUGGGAUAAGCGCUGGAAACGGCGUCUAAUACCGGAUAGGACCUUUCAUCGCAUGGUGGGGGGUGGAAAGUUUUUCGGUUUGGGAUGGACUCGCGGCCUAUCAGCUUGUUGGUGAGGUAAUGGCUCACCAAGGCGGUGACGGGUAGCCGGCCUGAGAGGGUGACCGGCCACACUGGGACUGAGACACGGCCCAGACUCCUACGGGAGGCAGCAGUGGGGAAUAUUGCACAAUGGGCGGAAGCCUGAUGCAGCAACGCCGCGUGGGGGAUGACGGCCUUCGGGUUGUAAACCUCUUUUGGCAAGGAAGAAGGGCUUCGGCUUGACGGUACUUGCAGAAAAAGGACCGGCUAACUACGUGCCGGCAGCCGCGGUAAUACGUAGGGUCCGAGCGUUGUCCGGAAUUAUUGGGCGUAAAGAACUCGUAGGCGGUUUGUCGCGUCUGCUGUGAAAACUAGAGGCUCAACCUCUA